AUGGAGACAGACACACUCCUGCUAUGGGUGCUGCUGCUCUGGGUUCCAGGCUCCAUUGGUGACAUUGUGCUGACCCAGUCUCCUGCUUCCUUAGCUGUGUCUCUGGGGAAGAGGGCCACCAUCUCCUGCAGAGCCAGCAAAAGUGUGGGUAUAUAUAUGCACUGGUACCAACAGAAACCAGGACAGCCACCCAAACUACUCAUCUAUNNUGCAUCCAACCUNGAAUCUGGGGUCCCUGCCAGGUUCAGUGGCAGUGGGUCUGGGACAGACUUCANCCUCAAUAUUGAUCCUGUGGAGGCUGGUGAUACUGCCACCUAUUACUGUCAGCAAAGUAAUGAGUAUCUUCCCACAGUGCUCCAGGGCUGA